GUUUUAGAUGAUGGGGACAGUAGUGAAUAAAAGGCAGAGCCCUAGAUCCUGUUUAUCUUAUAUUCCAGCACUGGGGAGAAAGAGGAAACAACAAUGGUCGAUGACGUCAAUUUCAUUUCUGCACCGACGACAGAAACAGCUCCUUAUCAAGCACUUGGGCUACUGCACAAACCUGGCUUCAAGAAAGAACUGUCCUGAUCUGACACAUGAUCCAAGUCAAAAAAUUUGAAAUCCAAUUUGAAACUGUGGUCUGGCAGAACCAACACAAUUCAGGGCUAGAUAUUUAAAAG
ensembl:lncRNA